rnacentral:rRNA from 1 species
UACGUAGGGUGCGAGCGUUGUCCGGAAUUAUUGGGCGUAAAGAGCUUGUAGGCGGUUUGUCGCGUCUGCUGUGAAAUCCCGGGGCUCAACCCCGGGCCUGCAGUGGAUACGGGCUGGCUAGAGGCAGGCAGGGGAGAACGGAAUUCCUGGUGUAGCGGUGAAAUGCGCAGAUAUCAGGAGGAACACCGGUGGCGAAGGCGGUUCUCUGGGCCUGUACUGACGCUGAGGAGCGAAAGCGUGGGGAGCGAACAGG